AUUGAACGCUAGCGGGAUGCUUUACACAUGCAAGUCGAACGAGUGGCGGACGGGUGAGUAAUAUAUCGGAACUUGCCCAGUAGCGGGGGAUAACUACUCGAAAGAGUGGCUAAUACCGCAUACUAUUUGAGCGGCCGAGAUCGGAUUAGCUAGUUGGUGGGGUAAAGGCUCACCAAGGCAACGAUCCGUAGCUGGUUUGAGAGGACGACCAGCAACACUGGGCCUGAGACACGGCCAAGACUCCUACGGGAGGAAGCGGUGGGGAAUUUUGGACAAUGGGGGAAACCCUAAGCCAGCCAUCCCGCGUGUAUGAGAAGGCCUUCGGGUUGUAAAGUACUUUUGGCAGAGAAGCGGAAUCUGCAGAAUAAGCACCGGCUAACUACGUGCCAGCCGCCGCGGUAUAC
rnacentral:rRNA from 1 species